AGAGUUUGAUCCUGGCUCAGGACGAACGCUGGCGGCGUGCUUAACACAUGCAAGUCGAACGGUGAAGCCCAGCUUGCUGGGUGGAUGAGUGGCGAACGGGUGAGUAACACGUGAGUAACCUGCCCCCUUCUUCUGGAUAACUGCCCGAAAGGGUGGCUAAUACGGGAUAUUCUUUUCCUGCCGCAUGGUGGGUUUUGGAAAGGUUUUUUCUGGUGGGGGAUGGGCUCGCGGCCUAUCAGCUUGUUGGUGGGGUGAUGGCCUACCAAGGCGGUGACGGGUAGCCGGCCUGAGAGGGUGGACGGCCACACUGGGACUGAGACACGGCCCAGACUCCUACGGGAGGCAGCAGUGGGGAAUAUUGCACAAUGGGCGCAAGCCUGAUGCAGCGACGCCGCGUGAGGGAUGGAGGCCUUCGGGUUGUAAACCUCUUUCGCCAGUGAAGCAGGCCAUGCCCGUGUGGUGUGGUUGACGGUAGCUGGAUAAGAAGCGCCGGCUAACUACGUGCCAGCAGCCGCGGUAAUACGUAGGGCGCGAGCGUUGUCCGGAAUUAUUGGGCGUAAAGAGCUCGUAGGCGGCUGGUCGCGUCUGCCGUGAAAUCCCCUGGCUUAACUGGGGGCUUGCGGUGGGUACGGGCCGGCUUGAGUGCGGUAGGGGAGACUGGAACUCCUGGUGUAGCGGUGGAAUGCGCAGAUAUCAGGAAGAACACCGGUGGCGAAGGCGGGUCUCUGGGCCGUUACUGACGCUGAGGAGCGAAAGCGUGGGGAGCGAACAGGAUUAGAUACCCUGGUAGUCC
rnacentral:rRNA from 1 species